rnacentral:rRNA from 1 species
UGCUAAUACAUGCAAGUCGAGCGAACGGACUAGGAGCUUGCUCCCUAUAGGUCAUCGCCGCGACGGGGAGUAACACGUGGGUAACCUGCGUGUAUGACUGUGAUAACUCCGGGAAACCGGGGCUAAUACCGGAUGCUUGAUUGAACCGCAUGUGUCUCUCAUUUAAGGGGGCUUUUCGCUUCCCCUUUCUGAUGGGCCCCCGGCCCAUUAACUAAUUGGGGAAGGAACGGGUCCCCCAAGGGACGAAGGCUAACCGAACUGGAAAGGUGAACGGCCCCCCUGGGAAUGAAACCCGGCCCAAAAUCCCACCGGAAGGAACAAUAAGGAAUCCUCCCCAAUGGACCAAAGUCUGAAGGAACAACCCCCCGGGGAGGAAGAAGGUUUUCGGAUCCAAAAACUCUGGUGGUAGGGAAAAACAAGUACCGAUCGAAUAAGGCGGGACCUUUGCCGUACCCAACCCGAAAGCCCUGAGUAACUAAGUGGCACGGGCCGGGUAAUAUCUACGUGGCAAGCUUUUACCCGAAAUAUUGG